UUCUGUCAACACUCUGACCUCUGACAGUCGACUGCUGGCAUUCGACGAGAAUCGACAACAACAACUGCAGAUUCCCGAGAACAAUGGAUCGUCCCGGUGCCAGUUCAUUUGAAAAUUGAAAUCUUAUAUGCUGAUCGGCAAAUAUUUUACAUAGUGGACUGCACAGUUAUUGUCUUUACUACAGUCAUGGUUUAAUAGCCAGGUGAAGUCUGAGCUUCUGCAGUGCCGUUUAACUUGUUCAUGGUAUUGUUGCAGCCAGCUGGUGAAUGGUGUAUUGAGCGUGCAGCCUGUGGUGUUGGUGAGCCGCUGCAUGCAGUCUGUGGUGCAUGCUGGUGUUAUCCUGAAAUGUGUUUAUCUUCUUUACCAAUACUGCAAUGCCUGUUUGUGCCCCGAAAUUCAAUCUUAAAUUGAAGAAAAA